CACGUAGGGUGCGAGCGUUUGUCCGGAAUUAUUGGGCGUAAAGAGCUCGUAGGCGGUGUGUCGCGUCGGCCGUGAAAACCUGCAGCUUAACUGUGGGCUUGCGGUCGAUACGGGCAUCACUGGAGUUCGGCAGGGGAGACUGGAAUUCCUGGUGUAGCGGUGAAAUGCGCAGACAUCAGGAGGAACACCGGUGGCGAAGGCGGGUCUCUGGGCCGAUACUGACGCUGAGGAGCGAAAGCGUGGGGAGCGAACAGG
rnacentral:rRNA from 1 species